UUUGCAUUGGAGGUGUCGUGCUAAUUUAGUGUCAGAAUAUACAGAUGAUUUGUCCCAUAUGAAGUAACAACAAAAGCAGACUGUUCACUGUCAGAACUAACUACAAACUUCAGUAAUCAGCAGUGCAAGCCAAUGGUCAUGAUGUUUGAGGAAAACAUAGCGGAUGUCUGGAUUUCACAGCAGUCAUGGAACAUUUUUAAUAAAUCAUGCUGCAGUGACAAACUAAAAAGUUGAGAUUGUUGUUUGCAUAUUUAUGUGGCAUGACCAUGGCUUCAAAGGGAGUGUUAUGGAGAAAGGAUACGUAUGGAAAAUACAGAGAUGAGGAUGUGGUAUUUACUUGUUGAUAAAAUUGCUGAAAUUUGAGAUAAGGAAUCAACAUCAUUUAGUUGUUUUACUUUGUACACUGUCACCAUCACGAUUUAUCUAAAUACAAGAUGAGCCAUGCUAUGAGAAAACCAACAUAGUGCA